AUGGCGGAUAGAUUGGAUAAGUGUGGGUGGCAAAACUGUGGUCAUUGCCCUCUCUGUGGGAGGGGGCAAGAAACAUGGGCUCACCUUUUCUUCAAGUGCCGCUUCACCAAUAGGCUGCCGAGACUGGUCAUCAACAAGCUGAGUCUUGAUGGACCCUUCUACUUGGCACCUAGAAGCUCCCGUCAGGGAAUGGUGGGCGAACAGGACUGGCUUGGGUAUUCCCAAAAGGAAGGCCAUGGCCUCCCUCACAAUGCCAGUUUUAUGGACUGUCUGAAACGAGAGGAACACACGCAUCUUCCGUCACAAGAGCGCGCCGCCGCCGAUCCUACUCAACAACAUUCUUACCUAGGCUAG
rnacentral:rRNA from 1 species